AAUACUUAGGAAUCUACCUAUUAAUGGGGGACAACAUUUCGAAAGGAAUGCUAAUACCGCAUACGCCCUACGGGGGAAAGCAGGGGAUCUUCGGACCUUGCGUUAAUAGAUGAGCCUAAGUCGGAUUAGCUAGUUGGUGGGGUAAAGGCCUACCAAGGCGACGAUCUGUAGCGGGUCUGAGAGGAUGAUCCGCCACACUGGGACUGAGACACGGCCCAGACUCCUACGGGAGGCAGCAGUGGGGAAUAUUGGACAAUGGGGGGAACCCUGAUCCAGCCAUGCCGCGUGUGUGAAGAAGGCCUUUUGGUUGUAAAGCACUUUAAGCGAGGAGGAGGCUACUGAGAUUAAUACUCUUGGAUAGUGGACGUUACUCGCAGAAUAAGCACCGGCUAACUCUGUGCCAGCAGCCGCGGUAAUACAGAGGGUGCGAGCGUUAAUCGGAUUUACUGGGCGUAAAGCGUGCGUAGGCGGCUUUUUAAGUCGGAUGUGAAAUCCCUGAGCUUAACUUAGGAAUUGCAUUCGAUACUGGGAAGCUAGAGUAUGGGAGAGGAUGGUAGAAUUCCAGGUGUAGCGGUGAAAUGCGUAGAGAUCUGGAGG
rnacentral:rRNA from 1 species